CAGGGAAUAUUUAAAUUAAAUUUCCACCUUUGGGUGUGGUUGGUGAACCUAGACCUUCUUCCUUAAA
rnacentral:tRNA from 1 species